CCUACAGGAGGCAGCAGUGAGGCAUAUUGGUCAAUGGCCGUAAGGCUGAACCAGCCAAGUAGCGUGAGGGAAGACUGCCCUAUGUGUUGUAAACCUCUUUUAUGCGGGGAUAAAGGUGUCCACGUGUGGAUGUUUGCAGGUACCGCAUGAAUCAGGACCGGCUAAUUCCGUGCCAGCAGCCGCGGUAAUACGGAAGGUCCGGGCGUUAUCCGGAUUUAGUGGGUUUAAGGGGAGCGUAGGUCGGUCUUUAAGCGUGCCGUGAAAUUUUGUGGGUCAACCAUGGGAGUGCGGCGCGAACUGGAGACCUUGAGUGCGCGGAAGGCAGGCGGAAUUCGUGGUGUAGCGGUGAAAUGCUUAGAUAUCACGAAGAACCCCGAUUGCGAAGGCAGCCUGCCGCAGCGUUACUGACGCUGAAGCUCGAAAGCGCGGGUAUCGAACAGGAUUAGAUACCCUUGUAGUC
rnacentral:rRNA from 1 species